GGAGGAAUGGCUGAGUGGUUAAAGGCGGCGGACUGUAAAUCCGUUGAGAAAUCUACAUAGGUUCGAAUCCUGUUUCCUCCA
rnacentral:tRNA from 1 species